UACGUAGGUGACCAGCGUUGUCCGGAUUUACUGGGCGUAAAGAGCGCGCAGGCGGUCGUUCAAGUCGAGUGUGAAAGCCCCCGGCUCAACUGGGGAGGGUCAUUCGAUACUGAUCGACUCGAAGGCAGGAGAGGGAAGCGGAAUUCCCGGUGUAGUGGUGAAAUGCGUAGAUAUCGGGAGGAACACCAGUGGCGAAGGCGGCAUCCUGGACCGAUACUGACGCUGAGGAGCGAAAGCCAGGGGAGCAAACGGG
rnacentral:rRNA from 1 species